CAAGUAACAUAACGUCUAUAUUUUCGUAAUUUACCUACUUGAGAAAUUAAAAAGGGAAACUGUAAGAUGUUGUAAUUUCGUUUUUCUAUAAUUUCCUUUUUCGUAUAUUUCUCUAUAUAAUAUGUAGUGAACUCUCAAAAUUAGUAAUAAACGUCAUUCUUCUUUCUUAGCGCAUUGAUUCCCUAAUUAGUAGUGUUUACAGUCCCAAACCCUAAUUAGGUUCGCGAGAAUGAAGAUGAACAAAUUUGUAAUGACCCACUCCCACCAUCUCCACUUCUUUCUCCAACCCCACCACUUCCACCUUCUUCUCCACCAUCUCCACCAUCUCCACCUUCUUCCCCACCAUCUCUACCUUCUAUAAAACUCAAGAAAAAGAGAAAGAGAGAGAGAGAAGAAGAAGAGGAGAGAAAGCUCACCUGAGCUCGUUGCCGGAGCAACCGUGCGCCGUGAUCACGUUCAGCUUGCCACCACCGAUAAACACCCUAGGUAACCGCCGGAAACCGCAUUCCUUAAGCUCAGUUUCGUUUCCGUUUAGUAAAUCACCCAUAACUUCCUAACCGUGAUGAAUCUCGUGAAUCCAAGACCACCAUCGUGUUUCUCCUGACGAGACGAAUCCGUAGCCACCGAAAACGCCUCAAUCGGAGCCCGGACGAAGCCGCACGCGCCUCCAGAAGUUUCACCACUGCGCGCGCGUGAGGUACACGCGCCGCCGCCGGACCACGGUCAUCCGCCGCAGCUCCGCCGCAGGACCACCGUCCUCCGCCGCAGCUCCGCCGUCGCCGCCGGCCAUAUUUCCGAUUUGGAGUCCAUUUGAGCAGCUGGAGUUCAUAGUUACCACUUCUCUUCAUUGCUAAGGUGAGGGCUAUUCCGUUAAAUCCCGAGCUAGUUUAGUACUACCAUUAUGGAAAGUUUAGUUUCGAAACAUGAUCCGUCUUUGUGAAUCGAGUCUAUUUGAGAGUCUUGUUUGUUCAUUAUUGAUAUUGGUUGUUAACUGGAAUUAGAAUAAUAGAGGAUUCAACGAUUGUGUGAAAUGAUUGAUGCUAAGAACUGCUAUAUAUAUGUAUAUACAUAGUUACGAGUAGGGACUAUGUGAUGAGGGCGUGAGCUCAGAGAUGUCUGAGAUUCGACGCUACAGUGUGGUAUGGGCGUGAGUUCAGAGACGUUUGAGCUUCGACGCUACUGUUUGGGGCGUGGUGCAGAGACGUUUGCAUUCGACGCUACGAUGGGCGGGGGUACAGAGACAGACUGUACUAGCGACGCUUCGAGUAUAUGUAUAUAUCCUUAUGAGGAGAUGCGCGGUGCAGAGAGUAGCUAUGUACUAUAAGCGCAUGAGUUGUAACGACUAGUCCUCUAGCCGAAUAUUGAUUGUUAUGUGUGGUGUAAUAGGCACCGUGUUUGUUUCAUGCUAUUGCUAGGCCUACAUUUUAGUAGUGCUAUGAACUCAGUCUGUGGUUUGCGGUUUAGCAUCCCAUACCUCGCUGGGCAACUCCCCUGUUGCUCACCCCUCCUUCUUUCCCCCUUCCAGGUGAGACCGACGAGCAGGAGUGAUUAUCAGACCGGUGCUUUUGGGCUUUUGGGCUUCUAUCGCUUUUACCGCUUUUAUCGUUAUCGGGCCUUUUGGCGUUAUGCUAUCGUAUUGACUUUUAUAUUAUGGUGGAAAUUAUUAUUAUUAGUUGAGUUGUAUUAUUAUUUUAUUUCCGCUUUUAUCUAUUUAUUAUAUUUCGAAAGUGACGGGUGUUACAUUUUGGUAUCAGAGCUAUUUAUUUAUCGUAACAUUUUAUUAUGUAAAUCGGGGUGUCACAAUUUGGUAUCAGAGCUAUUUAUUUAUCGUAACAUUUUAUUAUGUAAAUAGGGUUGUCACAAUUUGGUAUCAGAGCGGGUUCCGUCCCGGCUCCGACCCGGGAUGGCGAUUUUUGGAGACCUGGUUUUAUUCGGUUUUGACGGUUUUAAACGAUUUCAAAAUAUUUUCGGGGAUUUGAGAAUUUUGAAAAUAAAAAUAAAUAGCACCUUUCCGUUCGAUAUCACUUCUUCUUAAAUGUUGGUAUCCAAAGUUCAGCGUAAGUUAACUAUUCGCUCCCCUUUCAGAUGCCGCCAAGGAGAAGAACCACCCGUACCCAGACCGCCAGAGCUGUUAGAGACGAUGUAGAUGAGCAUGAGCAGCCCGCAGUUCCACCACCCACGGCUCCACCAGUUGAUCAGGAUGCAUUGAGAUAGAUGGUUCAGGAUGCCGCUAGACAGGCCGCUCAGGAGGCACUUCAGCAGAUUGCCCAGGAGGCAGCCAGGCAGGCCGCUCAGGAGGCCGCCCGAGUAGCUGCUCAGGAGGUUGCUCGUCAGAUGGCUGCCGUUCAGCAGGGUCCUCAGGUUCAGGUGCAGCAGGGUCCGCAGAUUCGGGUUCAGCAAGUUCCACUGGUUCAGGUCCAACAGGAUCAGCAGGGUCCAGUUCAGCAGUUUGCUCAUGGUGUUCAGGAUCUACCGCCACCACCACCGCGACCUCAUGUUUACCCGGUUUAUGAUGAGAGGUUCUACAGGCUGACAUGUCAGAUGAGAAACAUGGAGAUGGAGCAUUUUAGCGGAACAGUGGAUGCUGUAGCUGCACAUGAUUGGAAGUUAGCCUUGCAGCGGAAGCUGGAGAUUAUUGAGUGUCCACCAGAGUUGUCGCUCAGAUUGACUAUACAAUACCUUCGUGGAGAUGCUCUUAUAUGGUGGGAGGGAAUACGAUUGAGUCACUUUGGGCCAGGGAGGCUUACCUUUGCAGACUUCAUCCGAAAGUUCGAUAGGAAAUACUUUCCGAAGGAAGCUAUGGAUAGGAAGAAAUGCGUGUUCGAGCAUGCAAGUCAGGGUAAGAUGUCUAUCAGGGAGUAUGAGGUUGUGUUUAACCAACUUCGCAGGUUUGCUGGAGAGGGCAUUUUAGAGGAAGACCUGAUGAGGAAAUUUCUGAAUGGGAUGCGAGUAGAGAUUCGCAACAGGUGCCGUGUCGCCACUUAUCACAGAUUGGGAGACUUGGUGGAGAAAGCUGCCGAGCAGGAGGCAGGUUUGGCAGAGGAGCAGAAGUACACCAAGGCAGAUCAGCCUAAGUUUGGAGGGACUUCAGAGGCACAUCAGAGGACAUGGGACAAACCGAGCAUACAAUGCUUUUAUUGUGGAAAGAUGGGACAUAAGAGUAGGGUUUGUCGGAGUAGGCUAUUUAAUGCCCAGGUUGCGCCACCAGCAGCGGCAGCAGCACCAGUAGUGGAUGUUAGGAACUGUUUUGGUUGUAACAAGCCAGGUCACAUUUCAGAGACUGUCCGAGGAGGGGUAAUGCAGCGCUUCCACCACCACCGAAGCGUUUAGCCAUCGCUCCACGUGUGUUUACGGUUGGAGAUCCCCAGGGAGCUGAGCCGAUAGCGGGCAUGUUCUUAUCAUACUUGCUUGUGUUAAUAUUUGUGGUUUUGUGGUUAUCUUGUAUAGUUCGAGAUUAGUGAAUCUCGCGUAUGAUUGGUUGUGGUUGGUGUGAGUUACUUCACACCUUAUUUGACUUAAGAGAUUUUCAUAGUUUUGUGAGUUCGCGUUUGGUUAAGUUUUAGUCUUUUUGGAGGGAUCUUCUAACCGAAAGAUAAGCAGAUUUAGAUUGUUGUUAUGGAGAGCUUGUUGUUAUGGAGAGUUUGAGAGCGAUCAGGAAUUCAUCGUGAUGUACCUGUUAUCAUUUGAGUAUUAUGAUGGUACCGUCGAAGUUUAUGGUGGGUCUGGUCGUACACCACUUUGUUGGACCGCCAAGUAAGAGCAGAUAAUGGUAUGAUGACUAUGUUGGUCAAGGUUCGUGGGAGAGAGACGGGAUUCAGGAGGAUACCUGGGAGUCCGAGCCCCAAAUGAGGAUUGAUUAUCCAGAGCUGUUUCGGGGUGUCAUUGGAGAGUUUGGUGAUGUGAAUUCGGGGUCGAAUUCCUUGUUAGUGGGGGAGAAUUGUAAUGACCCACUCCCACCAUCUCCACUUCUUUCUCCAACCCCACCACUUCCACCUUCUUCUCCACCAUCUCCACCAUCUCCACCUUCUUCCCCACCAUCUCCACCUUCUAUAAAACUCAAGAAAAAGAGAAAGAGAGAGAGAGAGAGAAGAAGAAGAGGAGAGAAAGCUCACCUGAGCUCGUUGCCGGAGCAACCGUGCGCCGUGAUCACGUUCAGCUUGCCACCACCGAUAAACACCCUAGGUAACCGCCGGAAACCGCAUUCCUUAAGCUCAGUUUCGUUUCCGUUUAGUAAAUCACCCAUAACUUCCUAACCGUGAUGAAUCUCGUGAAUCCAAGACCACCAUCGUGUUUCUCCUGACGAGACGAAUCCGUAGCCACCGAAAACGCCUCAAUCGGAGCCCGGACGAAGCCGCACGCGCCUCCAGAAGUUUCGCCACUGCGCGCGCGUGAGGUACACGCGGCGCCGCCGGACCACGGUCAUCCGCCGCAGCUCCGCCGCAGGACCACCGUCCUCCGCCGCAGCUCCGCCGUCGCCGCCGGCCAUAUUUCCGGUAAGCCGCCGCCGGAGCUCCGCCGUCGCCGGCGGUGACCGACACCGGUGACUCGCCGGCGACUCGCCAACUCGGCCGAGUCGACCCGGUGAGUCAACUCGGUGACUCGGUCAAACCGGUGGUUUGACUGGUUUGACUGGUUUAAAUUGAUUUCAAUUCGGUUAGGUUAAACCGGUCGGUUAAAAUCAAUUGGAAAUCGGUUAGGAAAAACCGGAUUAAUUAAUUAAUUAAUUAAUUAAUUAAAUAAUUAAUCUUUGACCAGCGGGUUGACUUUUCCGUAAAUACCCGUUUUAAACCGUUCAAAAAGCGUUCCGACUCGAAAUUUCGAUCUGAUUUCAGAUUUGGAGUCCAUUUGAGCAGCUGGAGUUCAUAGUUACCACUUCUCUUCAUUGCUAAGGUGAGGGCUAUUCCGUUAAAUCCCGAGCUAGUUUAGUACUACCAUUAUGGAAAGUUUAGUUUCGAAACAUGAUCCGUCUUUGUGAAUCGAGUCUAUUUGAGAGUCUUGUUUGUUCAUUAUUGAUAUUGGUUGUUAACUGGAAUUAGAAUAAUAGAGGAUUCAACGAUUGUGUGAAAUGAUUGAUGCUAAGAACUGCUAUAUAUAUGUAUAUACAUAGUUAUGAGUAGGGACUAUGUGAUGAGGGCGUGAGCUCAGAGAUGUCUGAGCUUCGACGCUACGGUGUGGUAUGGGCGUGAGUUCAGAGACGUUUGAGCUUCGACGCUACUGUUUGGGGCGUGGUGCAGAGACGUUUGCAUUCGACGCUACGAUGGGCGGGGGUACAGAGACAGACUGUACUAGCGACGCUUCGAGUAUAUGUAUAUAUCCUUAUGAGGAGAUGCGCGGUGCAGAGAGUAGCUAUGUACUAUAAGCGCAUGAGUUGUAACGGCUAGUCCUCUAGCCGAAUAUUGAUUGUUAUGUGUGGUGUAAUAGGCACCGUGUUUGUUUCAUGCUAGAGCUAGGCCUACAUUUUAGUAGUGCUAUGAACUCAGUCUGUGGUUUGCGGUUUAGCAUCCCAUACCUCGCUGGGCAACUCCCCUGUUGCUCACCCCUCCUUCUUUCCCCCUUCCAGGUGAGACCGACGAGCAGGAGUGAUUAUCAGACCGGUGCUAUUGGGCUUUUGGGCUUCUAUCGCUUUUACCGCUUUUAUCGUUAUCGGGCCUUUUGGCGUUAUGCUAUCGUAUUGACUUUUAUAUUAUGGUGGAAAUUAUUAUUAUUAUUUGAGUUGUAUUAUUAUUUUAUUUCCGCUUUUAUCUAUUUAUUAUAUUUCGAAAGUGACGGGUGUUACAUUUUGGUAUCAGAGCUAUUUAUUUAUCGUAACAUUUUAUUAUGUAAAUCGGGGUGUCACAAUUUGGUAUCAGAGCUAUUUAUUUAUCGUAACAUUUUAUUAUGUAAAUAGGGUUGUCACAAUUUGGUAUCAGAGCGGGUUCCGUCCCGGCUCCGACCCGGGAUGGCGAUUUUUGGAGACCUGGUUUUAUUCGGUUUUGACGGUUUUAAACGAUUUCAAAAUAUUUUCGGGGAUUUGAGAAUUUUGAAAAUAAAAAUAAAUAGCACCUUUCCGUUCGAUAUCACUUCUUCUUAAAUGUUGGUAUCCAAAGUUCAGCGUAAGUUAACUAUUCGCUCCCCUUUCAGAUGCCGCCAAGGAGAAGAACCACCCGUACCCAGACCGCCAGAGCUGUUAGAGACGAUGUAGAUGAGCAUGAGCAGCCCGCAGUUCCACCACCCACGGCUCCACCAGUUGAUCAGGAUGCAUUGAGAUAGAUGGUUCAGGAUGCCGCUAGACAGGCCGCUCAGGAGGCACUUCAGCAGAUUGCCCAGGAGGCAGCCAGGCAGGCCGCUCAGGAGGCCGCCCGAGUAGCUGCUCAGGAGGUUGCUCGUCAGAUGGCUGCCGUUCAGCAGGGUCCUCAGGUUCAGGUGCAGCAGGGUCCGCAGAUUCGGGUUCAGCAAGUUCCACUGGUUCAGGUCCAACAGGAUCAGCAGGGUCCAGUUCAGCAGUUUGCUCAUGGUGUUCAGGAUCUACCGCCACCACCACCGCGACCUCAUGUUUACCCGGUUUAUGAUGAGAGGUUCUACAGGCUGACAUGUCAGAUGAGAAACAUGGAGAUGGAGCAUUUUAGCGGAACAGUGGAUGCUGUAGCUGCACAUGAUUGGAAGUUAGCCUUGCAGCGGAAGCUGGAGAUUAUUGAGUGUCCACCAGAGUUGUCGCUCAGAUUGACUAUACAAUACCUUCGUGGAGAUGCUCUUAUAUGGUGGGAGGGAAUACGAUUGAGUCACUUUGGGCCAGGGAGGCUUACCUUUGCAGACUUCAUCCGAGAGUUCGAUAGGAAAUACUUUCCGAAGGAAGCUAUGGAUAGGAAGAAAUGCGUGUUCGAGCAUGCAAGUCAGGGUAAGAUGUCUAUCAGGGAGUAUGAGGUUGUGUUUAACCAACUUCGCAGGUUUGCUGGAGAGGGCAUUUUAGAGGAAGACCUGAUGAGGAAAUUUCUGAAUGGGAUGCGAGUAGAGAUUCACAACAGGUGCCAUGUCGCCACUUAUCACAGAUUGGGAGACUUGGUGGAGAAAGCUGCCGAGCAGGAGGCAGGUUUGGCAGAGGAGCAGAAGUACACCAAGGCAGAUCAGCCUAAGUUUGGAGGGACUUCAGAGGCACAUCAGAGGACAUGGGACAAACCGAGCAUACAAUGCUUUUAUUGUGGAAAGAUGGGACAUAAGAGUAGGGUUUGUCGGAGUAGGCUAUUUAAUGCCCAGGUUGCGCCACCAGCAGCGGCAGCAGCACCAGUAGUGGAUGUUAGGAACUGUUUUGGUUGUAACAAGCCAGGUCACAUUUCAGAGACUGUCCGAGGAGGGGUAAUGCAGCGCUUCCACCACCACCGAAGCGUUUAGCCAUCGCUCCACGUGUGUUUACGGUUGGAGAUCCCCAGGGAGCUGAGCCGAUAGCGGGCAUGUUCUUAUCAUACUUGCUUGUGUUAAUAUUUGUGGUUUUGUGGUUAUCUUGUAUAGUUCGAGAUUAGUGAAUCUCGCGUAUGAUUGGUUGUGGUUGGUGUGAGUUACUUCACACCUUAUUUGACUUAAGAGCUUUUCAUAGUUUUGUGAGUUCGCGUUUGGUUAAGUUUUAGUCUUUUUGGAGGGAUCUUCUAACCGAAAGAUAAGCAGAUUUAGAUUGUUGUUAUGGAGAGCUUGUUGUUAUGGAGAGUUUGAGAGCGAUCAGGAAUUCAUCGUGAUGUACCUGUUAUCAUUUGAGUAUUAUGAUGGUACCGUCGAAGUUUAUGGUGGGUCUGGUCGUACACCACUUUGUUGGACCGCCAAGUAAGAGCAGAUAAUGGUAUGAUGACUAUGUUGGUCAAGGUUCGUGGGAGAGAGACGGGAUUCAGGAGGAUACCUGGGAGUCCGAGCCCCAAAUGAGGAUUGAUUAUCCAGAGCUGUUUCGGGGUGUCAUUGGAGAGUUUGGUGAUGUGAAUUCGGGGUCGAAUUCCUUGUUAGUGGGGGAGAAUUGUAAUGACCCACUCCCACCAUCUCCACUUCUUUCUCCAACCCCACCACUUCCACCUUCUUCUCCACCAUCUCCACCAUCUCCACCUUCUUCCCCACCAUCUCCACCUUCUAUAAAACUCAAGAAAAAGAGAAAGAGAGAGAGAGAGAGAAGAAGAAGAGGAGAGAAAGCUCACCUGAGCUCGUUGCCGGAGCAACCGUGCGCCGUGAUCACGUUCAGCUUGCCACCACCGAUAAACACCCUAGGUAACCGCCGGAAACCGCAUUCCUUAAGCUCAGUUUCGUUUCCGUUUAGUAAAUCACCCAUAACUUCCUAACCGUGAUGAAUCUCGUGAAUCCAAGACCACCAUCGUGUUUCUCCUGACGAGACGAAUCCGUAGCCACCGAAAACGCCUCAAUCGGAGCCCGGACGAAGCCGCACGCGCCUCCAGAAGUUUCGCCACUGCGCGCGCGUGAGGUACACGCGGCGCCGCCGGACCACGGUCAUCCGCCGCAGCUCCGCCGCAGGACCACCGUCCUCCGCCGCAGCUCCGCCGUCGCCGCCGGCCAUAUUUCCGGUAAGCCGCCGCCGGAGCUCCGCCGUCGCCGGCGGUGACCGACACCGGUGACUCGCCGGCGACUCGCCAACUCGGCCGAGUCGACCCGGUGAGUCAACUCGGUGACUCGGUCAAACCGGUGGUUUGACUGGUUUGACUGGUUUAAAUUGAUUUCAAUUCGGUUAGGUUAAACCGGUCGGUUAAAAUCAAUUGGAAAUCGGUUAGGAAAAACCGGAUUAAUUAAUUAAUUAAUUAAUUAAUUAAAUAAUUAAUCUUUGACCAGCGGGUUGACUUUUCCGUAAAUACCCGUUUUAAACCGUUCAAAAAGCGUUCCGACUCGAAAUUUCGAUCUGAUUUCAGAUUUGGAGUCCAUUUGAGCAGCUGGAGUUCAUAGUUACCACUUCUCUUCAUUGCUAAGGUGAGGGCUAUUCCGUUAAAUCCCGAGCUAGUUUAGUACUACCAUUAUGGAAAGUUUAGUUUCGAAACAUGAUCCGUCUUUGUGAAUCGAGUCUAUUUGAGAGUCUUGUUUGUUCAUUAUUGAUAUUGGUUGUUAACUGGAAUUAGAAUAAUAGAGGAUUCAACGAUUGUGUGAAAUGAUUGAUGCUAAGAACUGCUAUAUAUAUGUAUAUACAUAGUUAUGAGUAGGGACUAUGUGAUGAGGGCGUGAGCUCAGAGAUGUCUGAGCUUCGACGCUACGGUGUGGUAUGGGCGUGAGUUCAGAGACGUUUGAGCUUCGACGCUACUGUUUGGGGCGUGGUGCAGAGACGUUUGCAUUCGACGCUACGAUGGGCGGGGGUACAGAGACAGACUGUACUAGCGACGCUUCGAGUAUAUGUAUAUAUCCUUAUGAGGAGAUGCGCGGUGCAGAGAGUAGCUAUGUACUAUAAGCGCAUGAGUUGUAACGGCUAGUCCUCUAGCCGAAUAUUGAUUGUUAUGUGUGGUGUAAUAGGCACCGUGUUUGUUUCAUGCUAGAGCUAGGCCUACAUUUUAGUAGUGCUAUGAACUCAGUCUGUGGUUUGCGGUUUAGCAUCCCAUACCUCGCUGGGCAACUCCCCUGUUGCUCACCCCUCCUUCUUUCCCCCUUCCAGGUGAGACCGACGAGCAGGAGUGAUUAUCAGACCGGUGCUAUUGGGCUUUUGGGCUUCUAUCGCUUUUACCGCUUUUAUCGUUAUCGGGCCUUUUGGCGUUAUGCUAUCGUAUUGACUUUUAUAUUAUGGUGGAAAUUAUUAUUAUUAUUUGAGUUGUAUUAUUAUUUUAUUUCCGCUUUUAUCUAUUUAUUAUAUUUCGAAAGUGACGGGUGUUACAUUUUGGUAUCAGAGCUAUUUAUUUAUCGUAACAUUUUAUUAUGUAAAUCGGGGUGUCACAAUUUGGUAUCAGAGCUAUUUAUUUAUCGUAACAUUUUAUUAUGUAAAUAGGGUUGUCACAAUUUGGUAUCAGAGCGGGUUCCGUCCCGGCUCCGACCCGGGAUGGCGAUUUUUGGAGACCUGGUUUUAUUCGGUUUUGACGGUUUUAAACGAUUUCAAAAUAUUUUCGGGGAUUUGAGAAUUUUGAAAAUAAAAAUAAAUAGCACCUUUCCGUUCGAUAUCACUUCUUCUUAAAUGUUGGUAUCCAAAGUUCAGCGUAAGUUAACUAUUCGCUCCCCUUUCAGAUGCCGCCAAGGAGAAGAACCACCCGUACCCAGACCGCCAGAGCUGUUAGAGACGAUGUAGAUGAGCAUGAGCAGCCCGCAGUUCCACCACCCACGGCUCCACCAGUUGAUCAGGAUGCAUUGAGAUAGAUGGUUCAGGAUGCCGCUAGACAGGCCGCUCAGGAGGCACUUCAGCAGAUUGCCCAGGAGGCAGCCAGGCAGGCCGCUCAGGAGGCCGCCCGAGUAGCUGCUCAGGAGGUUGCUCGUCAGAUGGCUGCCGUUCAGCAGGGUCCUCAGGUUCAGGUGCAGCAGGGUCCGCAGAUUCGGGUUCAGCAAGUUCCACUGGUUCAGGUCCAACAGGAUCAGCAGGGUCCAGUUCAGCAGUUUGCUCAUGGUGUUCAGGAUCUACCGCCACCACCACCGCGACCUCAUGUUUACCCGGUUUAUGAUGAGAGGUUCUACAGGCUGACAUGUCAGAUGAGAAACAUGGAGAUGGAGCAUUUUAGCGGAACAGUGGAUGCUGUAGCUGCACAUGAUUGGAAGUUAGCCUUGCAGCGGAAGCUGGAGAUUAUUGAGUGUCCACCAGAGUUGUCGCUCAGAUUGACUAUACAAUACCUUCAUGGAGAUGCUCUUAUAUGGUGGGAGGGAAUACGAUUGAGUCACUUUGGGCCAGGGAGGCUUACCUUUGCAGACUUCAUCCGAGAGUUCGAUAGGAAAUACUUUCCGAAGGAAGCUAUGGAUAGGAAGAAAUGCGUGUUCGAGCAUGCAAGUCAGGGUAAGAUGUCUAUCAGGGAGUAUGAGGUUGUGUUUAACCAACUUCGCAGGUUUGCUGGAGAGGGCAUUUUAGAGGAAGACCUGAUGAGGAAAUUUCUGAAUGGGAUGCGAGUAGAGAUUCACAACAGGUGCCAUGUCGCCACUUAUCACAGAUUGGGAGACUUGGUGGAGAAAGCUGCCGAGCAGGAGGCAGGUUUGGCAGAGGAGCAGAAGUACACCAAGGCAGAUCAGCCUAAGUUUGGAGGGACUUCAGAGGCACAUCAGAGGACAUGGGACAAACCGAGCAUACAAUGCUUUUAUUGUGGAAAGAUGGGACAUAAGAGUAGGGUUUGUCGGAGUAGGCUAUUUAAUGCCCAGGUUGCGCCACCAGCAGCGGCAGCAGCACCAGUAGUGGAUGUUAGGAACUGUUUUGGUUGUAACAAGCCAGGUCACAUUUCAGAGACUGUCCGAGGAGGGGUAAUGCAGCGCUUCCACCACCACCGAAGCGUUUAGCCAUCGCUCCACGUGUGUUUACGGUUGGAGAUCCCCAGGGAGCUGAGCCGAUAGCGGGUGAGACCGACGAGCAGGAGUGAUUAUCGGACCGGUGCUAUUGGGCUUUUGGGCUUCUAUCGCUUUUACCGCUUUUAUCGUUAUCGGGCCUUUUGGCGUUAUGCUAUCGUAUUGACUUUUAUAUUAUGGUGGAAAUUAUUAUUAUUAUUUGAGUUGUAUUAUUAUUUUAUUUCCGCUUUUAUCUAUUUAUUAUAUUUCGAAAGUGACGGGUGUUACAUUUUGGUAUCAGAGCUAUUUAUUUAUCGUAACAUUUUAUUAUGUAAAUCGGGGUGUCACAAUUUGGUAUCAGAGCUAUUUAUUUAUCGUAACAUUUUAUUAUGUAGUUGUCACAAAAUUGUUGGUGAGAAAAGAUACCAUCUUCAAGAAACCUUCGUCUUCUUUGUACAACGCACGAGCGGCUACGGUUCUCAAGAAAGCGUUCGAGCUAUCGGAGCUAUGCGGUGUGGAUGUGUGCAUCAUCUGGUACGACCGCGAAGGUAACCUAGUGAAGACGUGGCCUGAGAACGAGGAAGCCAAAGUUAGAGCCAUCGCAGAGCGAUACAGCAUGUUAAGCGAAGAAGAAAGGGGCAAGAAAAGAAACAACCUCUCAGGGUUUCUAAACAAGAAGAUGAUCCGCGACAAGAAGGAGUCUUUGAGGAAAAGGGAUAACAAAUUCUUCCAAGAAGUGUCAGAGCUUGAGGAUUCGUUGCAGACUCGCUUACAGACAAUCAAAGAAAGCCUUCAUCUUGAUCAACCCCAGGAUAUAUCUUCUAAUGAUUCCUCGAUAAUUAAUGCGUAUCAUCAUCAAGCAUCAUCACUAUUGAGUUAUCCGAGUAGUAGCAGCGAGAAUUGUGUUGAUGUAUCCACCACCACGUCGAUGGAUCAUCCGCGGAGCAAAUUCUCGAUCUUGUUGUUUAACCAUGAGAAUGGUGCGCUCACUCAAUUAGCCAACCCUUCUGCUCUUUCAAGCUUUGAACAACAGCCUCAGAUUCAGUGUAAUCAAGAUUAUGGUACUAAUUACAUGGAUUUAUUACUUGGGAAACAAGGCUGCAACAACUUCGAUCUUCUCAUGCCCGCCCUUUUUCCUCCUCCGAUGAUGAUGCAGACACAAACCCCAAAUUUCGAGCAGUUUAUGCAGACACAACCGGUGUAUAAUCAGAUACCAGCUUUUGGAACGAUGCUCUCUUAGGUCUGAAGAACUGAUAGUUUGACUAUAGGGUCAACACUUUUUAUUAUCUUGUGUCUGUUUGCUAUUAUGUUGUCAAUCAAUUGAAUAGAAGAGGUUCUAAUUUCGUGAGUCUA